UGGGAGUGGGUCCCGCUUGACUGUGAGAGGGUGAGGGCAGCACAGUAGGCUGCCUCCAGGUUGCAGGGCACAGGGGUCCUACCACUACCGCUGUUGCUCCUGCAGCCCCUCCUGCAGCCCCUCCUGCAGCCCCUCCUGCACCUCCCCUCCUGCAGCCCCUCCUGCACCUCCCCUCCUGCAGCCCCUCCUGCAGCCCCUCCUGCACCUCCCCUCCUGCAGCCCCUCCUGCACCUCCCCUCCUGCAGCCCCUCCUGCAGCCCCUCCUGCACCUCCCCUCCUGCAGCCCCUCCUGCACCUCCCCUCCUGCAGCCCCUCCUGCAGCCCCUCCUGCAGCCCCUCCUGCAGCCCCUCCUGCACCUCCCCUCCUGCAGCCCCUCCUGCAGCCCCUCCUGCACCUCCCCUCCUGCAGCCCCUCCUGCAGCCCCUCCUGCACCUCCCCUCCUGCAGCCCCUCCUGCAGCCCCUCCUGCAGCCCCUCCUGCAGCCCCUCCUGCACCUCCCCUCCUGCAGCCCCUCCUGCAGCCCCUCCUGCACCUCCCCUCCUGCAGCCCCUCCUGCAGCCCCUCCUGCACCUCCCCUCCUGCAGCCCCUCCUGCAGCCCCUCCUGCAGCCCCUCCUGCAGCCCCUCCUGCACCUCCCCUCCUGCAGCCCCUCCUGCAGCCCCUCCUGCAGCCCCUCCUGCAGCCCCUCCUGCAGCCCCUCCUGCACCUCCCCUCUACAGCUGGCAUGUUGGUAGCGGCCGCUCCGGAUGGCCGGUUGCUGCCAUCAACAGAAUGAGGUCACCUAUACAACCUUCAGACAGCAUUCUAGGUUCCAUGUUUGUGCCACGAGGGGAAUUGGCUUAAGUUUUUUCUUUGGAUUCAGCAAUUCAAUGCCCACAAGUGCAAUGAACUAUGAGAAGUGAAAAG
rnacentral:lncRNA from 10 species